AAGGCUUGACAUGUGCCGGUAAAGCGCAGAGAUGUGCUCCCCGCAAGGUCGGUACACAGGUGGUGCAUGGUUGUCGUCAGCUCGUGUCGUGAGAUGUUGGGUUAAGUCCCGCAACGAGCGCAACCCUCGUUCUAUGUUGCCAGCACGUAGUGGUGGGGACUCAUAGGAGACUGCCGGGGUCAACUCGGAGGAAGGUGGGGAUGACGUCAAAUCAUCAUGCCCCUUAUGUCUUGGGCUUCACGCAUGCUACAAUGGCCAGUACAAAGGGCUGCGAUACCGCGAGGUGGAGCGAAUCCCAAAAAACUGGUCUCAGUUCGGAUUGGGGUCUGCAACUCGACCCCAUGAAGUCGGAGUCGCUAGUAAUCGCAGAUCAGCAACGCUGCGGUGAAUACGUUCCCGGGCC
rnacentral:rRNA from 1 species